rnacentral:rRNA from 1 species
GACGAACGCUGGCGGCGUGCUUAACACAUGCAAGUCGAACGGAAAGGCCCUGCUUUUGUGGGGUGCUCGAGUGGCGAACGGGUGAGUAACACGUGAGUAACCUGCCCUUGACUUUGGGAUAACUUCAGGAAACUGGGGCUAAUACCGGAUAGGAGCUCCUGCUGCAUGGUGGGGGUUGGAAAGUUUCGGCGGUUGGGGAUGGACUCGCGGCUUAUCAGCUUGUUGGUGGGGUAGUGGCUUACCAAGGCUUUGACGGGUAGCCGGCCUGAGAGGGACCGGCCACAUUGGGACUGAGAUACGGCCCAGACUCCUACGGGAGGCAGCAGUGGGGAAUAUUGCACAAUGGGCGGAAGCCUGAUGCAGCAACGCCGCGUGCGGGAUGACGGCCUUCGGGUUGUAAACCGCUUUCGCCUGUGACGAAGCGUGAGUGACGGUAAUGGGUAAAGAAGCACCGGCUAACUACGUG